UCCAGGGUAGCCUAGUAGACAUGGCAUCUGCCCAGUAAGCGGAACACUGUGAGUUCGAAUUUCAUCCCUGGGAA
rnacentral:tRNA from 1 species